AUGGGAGAAAGCGGUGGCUGUGUAACCUUGAGCACAGGGCCCCCCGAACCCAGGGCAGGGAGGCCUGCGGUCCCCCGAAUUCCGGGCAGGGAGGCCCGCGGUCCCCCGAACCCCGGGCAGGGAGCCCCGCGGUCCCCCGAACCCAGGUCAGGGAGCCCGCAGUCCCCCAAAGCCCAGGCAGGGAGCCCUGCGGUCCCCCGAACCCAGGGCAGGGAGCCCGCAGUCCCCCGAACCCAGGGCAGGGAGCCCCGCGGUCCCCUGAACCCCAAGCAGGGAGCCCCGCGGUCCCCCGAACCCAGGGCAGAGAGCCCACGGUCCCCCGAACCCAGGGCAGGGAGCCCGCAGGCAGAGCCGAGGCCGAGGUGCGUGUCUCACAUUCUGCUCCAGUCAGCACACUCUGCUCAGGAGGCUCGCUGGGCAGAAGGGGGUGAAGGGGAGGUGAAGGUUCUCUGCAGCCAUGGGGAGGGAGCCCGGAGCGAGAGGGACAGACGGCCUUGAUUCCUCCCCGGGGGCAAGUCCCGCACCGUGAGCCCCUGCCUGCCCCCUGGGCACCUGCUCUCUGGGACGGCCGCCACAUGUCACAGGGCCUGCCCUGCCGCACUGCACGCCCAGGCUUGGAGGCCCGGUUUGGUCUUUGUCAUUGGCACCGGGAGAGGGAGAGUCCAGACGAGGGAGGCCACAGCCACGCCUAUGGGCCCCUGCCUUGUUGGGGCCACUCGUGAAACCUCAAGGGUGACGAUUUCGGUGCCUGAUUGUUCUGCUCUUUAAAGUGCUUGUGUGCUGUCCCUGCAGGGUCGGUCCAGACCCUCUGGCCCGCUGUGCCCACAGCCCCUGCCCCUGCUCUAGGGAGCACUGGCGCCCCCCGACCUCCAACUGCAGCACCUGCCCCCAGCUGUCGUCUGCGGCUGCCCAGGGCGCGAGGGGGUGGGGCGCCUCCUGCCCCUGUGUGCCUGUGCUGCCCCGUCCCCCGCAGGCCUCCCCUGUGCUGUCACCUGGCUGUCACCUGUCCUCCCGGCCUCAGCUGUGUUGACUUGGAAGGUGACACCCCGGCCCCCGGGCUGGAAAUCCUUCUCCCCCAUGUCCCCUGACAUCUUCAACUUCGCUCUCAGCUUCAACCAGCUUUGCCACGGGCCUUGCCAGCCCGGCGUCCCGCUGCCCCUAAUCCUGAGAGGUCCUAAUCGGACAACCUGCUUAUGGGCUAGUGUGUUCAGACACCGAGGCGGCGAACUUCCUUGAGAUGACCCUUCAUGUGUCUCCUCGUUGACCCAGGUCAACCCCAAAGGGACCGGUUUUCCUCCCAUGGGCCCCAGGGCCUCACCAAUGCUGGGACCGCCACCAAGCGUUCCGGUUGGGUCACUUUAUGGGAUUUGCCUGUUCGGACUGCUGGUUGGCCUGUGUGCGGGCACGGCCUCUGGGAAUCCCAUCUCCCAGCGGUGACAGCCAGACGCCACGGUGCCCUUUCCGCUGCCUGGCCCCCUGUCAUGCCAUGGGUCACUGUUGGCGGGGUGUCGGUGCAGCCGUCUGUCUCCCGGGGCCAGCCAGCCCCCACCCCACCCAUGCUGAUCCGUUCCUGGUUUCCAAGGUAUUUUCAAGAAUAUUUUCAGGGCCUUCAAAGAUGAGAGCCAUUUGGCCCCGGCGCCUUAGCGGGAGGAAGGAAGCGCAGGGCUCUGCAAAGGGGGAGGUCCCCGAGGCCAGCCUCAGCUUCGGGGACUCACCAGUGGGACCCACAGGACAAAGCCCUUUCACUCGCUGUUACGGAUUGUGACAGCAAAGGACACAAAGGAAAACCAGCCGCGGGAAGGGGCCCAGGGAGCAGGCUUGGCGGGGGGGGGCACAGGGUCCUCUCCCAGGGAGGGCUGGGGACAGCCUG
ensembl:lncRNA